CAGCCGCCGCGGUAAUACAGAGGGUGCAAGCGUUAAUCGGAAUUACUGGGCGUAAAGCGCACGCAGGCGGUCUGACAAGUCAGAUGUGAAAUCCCCGGGCUUAACCUGGGAACUGCAUUUGAAACUGUCAGGCUGGAGUCUUGUAGAGGGGGGUAGAAUUCCAGGUGUAGCGGUGAAAUGCGUAGAGAUCUGGAGGAAUACCGGUGGCGAAGGCGGCCCCCUGGACAAAGACUGACGCUCAGGUGCGAAAGCGUGGGGAGCAAACAGGAUUAGAUACCCCAGUAGUCCCUGUCUCUUAUAC
rnacentral:rRNA from 1 species